AGACUUUGAUUCUGGCUCAGAUUGAACGCUAGCGGGAUGCUUUACACAUGCAAGUCGAACGGCAGCGCGGACUUCGGUCUGGCGGCGAGUGGCGAACGGGUGAGUAAUGUAUCGGAACGUGCCCAGUAGCGGGGGAUAACUACGCGAAAGCGUAGCUAAUACCGCAUACGCCCUACGGGGGAAAGGGGGGGAUCUUCGGACCUCUCACUAUUGGAGCGGCCGAUAUCGGAUUAGCUAGUUGGUGGGGUAAAGGCCUACCAAGGCGACGAUCCGUAGCUGGUUUGAGAGGACGACCAGCCACACUGGGACUGAGACACGGCCCAGACUCCUACGGGAGGCAGCAGUGGGGAAUUUUGGACAAUGGGGGCAACCCUGAUCCAGCCAUCCCGCGUGUGCGAUGAAGGCCUUCGGGUUGUAACAGCACUUCUUGGCAGGGAAGAAACAGGUCUGGAUAAUACCUGGACUGAAUGACGGUACCUGCAGAAUAAGCACCGGCUACACUACGUGCCAGCAGCACGC
rnacentral:rRNA from 1 species